UGAGUGGCGGACGGGUGAGUAACGCGUGGGGCAACCUGGCCUGUACAGGGGGAUAACACUUAGAAAUAGGUGCUAAUACCGCAUAACGGGGGAAGCCGCAUGGCUUUUCCCUGAAAACUCCGGUGGUACAGGAUGGGCCCGCGUCUGAUUAGCCAGUUGGCAGGGUAACGGCCUACCAAAGCGACGAUCAGUAGCCGGCCUGAGAGGGCGGACGGCCACACUGGGACUGAGACACGGCCCAGACUCCUACGGGAGGCAGCAG
rnacentral:rRNA from 1 species